rnacentral:rRNA from 1 species
AACCUACCGUAUACGAGAGGGGAAUAACCCGGCGAAAGUCGGACUGAUACCGCAUAAAACAGGGGCACCGCAUGGUGAUAUUGUUAAAGAAAUUCGCUGAUAGAUGGGCAUGCGCUCCAUUAGGUAGUUGGUGAGGUAACGGCUCACCAAGCCGACGAUGGAUAGGGGAACUGAGAGGUUGGUCCCCCACACUGGUACUGAGACACGGACCAGACUCCUACGGGAGGCAGCAGUGAGGAAUAUUGGUCAAUGGGCGGGAGCCUGAACCAGCCAAGUCGCGUGAAAAGGAAGAAGGAUCUAUGGUUCGUAAACUUCUUUUGCAGGGGAAUAAAGUGCAGGACGUGUCCUGUUUUGUAUGUACCCUGAGAAUAAGGAUCGGCUAACUCCGUGCCAGCAGCCGC